CCCAUGUCUUUUGAGUACUUACGUUUUCCUCGGCGGGUCCGCCCGCCGAUUGGACAAAAUUAAACCCUUUGCAGUUGCAAUCAGCGUCUGAAAAACAUAAUAGUUACAACUUUCAACAACGGAUCUCUUGGUUCUGGCAUCGAUGAAGAACGCAGCGAAAUGCGAUAAGUAGUGUGAAUUGCAGAAUUCAGUGAAUCAUCGAAUCUUUGAACGCACAUUGCGCCCCUUGGUAUUCCAUGGGGCAUGCCUGUUCGAGCGUCAUUUGUACCUUCAAGCUUUGCUUGGUGUUGGGUGUUUGUCUCGCCUUUGCGUGUAGACUCGCCUCAAAACAAUUGGCAGCCGGCGUAUUGAUUUCGGAGCGCAGUACAUCUCGCGCUUUGCACUCAUAACGACGACGUCCAAAAGUACAUUUUUUACACUCUUGACCUCGGAUCAGGUAGGGAUACCCGCUGAACUUAAGCAUAUCAAU
rnacentral:rRNA from 1 species